UAAUGAAAUUACUUAUUUAUCUAUUUAAUAGGUGAAAGAUAAGCUUGUAUUUAAAACAACUUAUGAUGAACAGAAACUAACUCAACCAUUAGAGCUGCAAAAUGCCAUUGACCAACUUUGUGCUGCUGUAUCUGGUGGUCGUGCCUUUGUGCGUCCUUCUGGAACAGAAGAUGUUGUUAGAGUAUUUUCAGAAGCAGACACUAUUGAAGAUGCAAAGAAGCUUAGUUUUAACAUUUCUGAGAAAGUAUAUGACCUUUGUAAUGGUGUUGGAGAUCGUCCUGUGCUGUAAAGCUAAAAUGAUCAAUUGAAAAUAUUAUCUAAGAAUAUUAUUUAACAUUUUUUAUACAAAUUUAUUAAAAUAUAUAUACUUAUAACUUUACAAUUUGGAAUUUAAAAAGAAAUUCAUAUUUGAAAAUCAUUAGAGGGAAAACUUUUGGUUUGUAAUUUCUGAAUUUACGAGAUCUUUUUCUGUCUUUAUGUUUGAUUUGUGAGCAAUAAUGCAAUAGAUUUUUAUUUUUACAGUUUAUUAUAUUUUAACAUUUGCCUUUCAUCAGCUCCAGGGUUGAGAAAAUACAGUACUGGGUUAAUGAUAUUGACUAAUUUCUUCACCUUAAAAUUAUUAUUAUGGCAAUGAGCCAACAAAAUCAAGUGUUGCAAGAAAUGCUUUGUGAUAUUUCUUCUAGUUCUUUACUUAUUGAGUUGAAAGCCCACUGAGUGGGUUUCAUCUCUCUGGGACCAAUAAAAUAAAGUAUCUAAUAAGUACUGGCAUCAAUGGUAUUGACUAAAUACCCUCCCUCAAAAUUGCUGUAUUUGUAUCUAAAUUAGAAACUAAUAUAUUGUGAAAUAUAGUUUGCCAUUCAUUGAGGAGGGAGGUAAUCAUGAGAAACAAUUUUCAAAUAUUUUUAUAGCUACCAUAUUAUUCUAAUAAAUAUAAUUUUGAAAACA